CCUACGGGGAGCAGCAGUGGGGGAUAUUGCACAAUGGGGGAAACCCUGAUGCAGCGACGCCGCGUGGGUGAAGAAGCGCCUCGGCGCGUAAAGCCCUGUCAGCAGGGAAGAAAAUGACGGUACCUGAAGAAGGAGCUCCGGCUAACUACGUGCCAGCAGCCGCGGUAAUACGUAGGGGGCAAGCGUUAUCCGGAUUUACUGGGUGUAAAGGGGGCGCAGACGGCGAUGCAAGCCAGGAGGGAAGGCCCGGGGCCCAACCCCGGGACUGCUCUUGGAACUGCGUGGCUAGAGUGCAGGAGGGGCAGGCGGAAUUCCUGGUGUAGCGGUGAAAUGCGUAGAUAUCAGGAGGAACACCGGUGGCGAAGGCGGCCUGCUGGACUGCAACUGACGUUGAGGCCCGAAAGCGUGGGGAGCAAACAGGAUUAGAUACCCCAGUAGUC
rnacentral:rRNA from 1 species